rnacentral:rRNA from 1 species
CCUACGGGUGGCAGCAGUGGGGAAUAUUGGACAAUGGGGGCAACCCUGAUCCAGCCAUGCCGCGUGUGUGAAGAAGGCCCUCGGGUUGUAAAGCACUUUCAGUGAGGAAGAACGCCUGGUGGUUAAUACCCAUCAGGAAAGACAUCACUCACAGAAGAAGCACCGGCUAACUCCGUGCCAGCAGCCGCGGUAAUACGGAGGUUGCGAGCGUUAAUCGGAAUUACUGGGCGUAAAGCGCGCGUAGGUGGCUUGAUAAGCCGGUUGUGAAAGCCCCGGGCUCAACCUGGGAACGGCAUCCGGAACUGUCAAGCUAGAGUGCAGGAGAGGAAGGUAGAAUUCCCGGUGUAGCGGUGAAAUGCGUAGAGAUAGGGAGGAAUACCAGUGGCGAAGGCGGCCUUCUGGACUGACACUGACACUGAGGUGCGAAAGCGUGGGUAGCAAACAGGAUUAGAUACCCCUGUAGUC